rnacentral:rRNA from 1 species
CCCAGCAGCUAUAUCAGCCUGCAAUUUACUGUACAACUGGCAUCUUACUGAAGCUAAGCAGGUCUGAGCCUGGCCAAUACCUGGAUGGGAGAUUGCCUGGGAAAAACUAAGGCUGCUCCAGGAA